CGUGAGAGAUGUUUUGGUGGCUGAAAAAAUGGACUGAGCCCUUUCCAUGUUCAGUGUGCAGCUGGUUGGUGGUGGUGUCUUCUGUUUUGUUUAAGCACCCAGAAAUCAAAUAUUAACCUGAUUAUGAAUUCAGCGUUACAUGUAAGGCGGGGAAGAGCUGCAGGUGGUGACAGACAACUGGCUCGCGUUUGAUCUGGCAGUUUUCAUCUACGCCACCAUUUUAUUCCUGCUGUGGGACUGCAACAAAAUGGUGGCUCACUCGUUCUGAGCCUCGGUGAUGAAUCGGGUGUGUGAAAUCCCAGCCCCUGUGUGCCAGGGACUGCGCUCACUCCGCAAAAGAGCGCGCUGAAAGACGUACUCUUGCUAGUAUGCGAUGUACAAUAGGAUCUCCUACUGGGGAGCGGGGAAGGAACUACAUUAAUUCUUCUCAUGGGACGGGGAUUUAGGAAUUUCAUCGUUCAGUGAGUUUUUCCACACACACACACACACACACGCACACCCCCCCCUCAUGUUUUCUUUGGGUAAGGAAGGGAGAUAAUCUCUUUGGAGCAUAUGUACAGGAAUGCUUGCUGUGAUGCCUCUAAGGCAACCAAGUGGCAGGCAUGGCUGCAUGUCUUCAAGUAGCCCCCGUGCUUCCUCCUGUAGGCUCUGGGAUGAGUUUUACUUCAGAAUUUUGCCCAGCAGAGCCUGGGUGCAGAGGGAGCUCGGCACUCCCAGGGUGCACAGCUGAGCUGGCCCUGGCUUGGGUGCCCUUGAGAUUAUGAAUCUCUUGGAGCAGAUCAGGGCUGCAGUUUGGGAAAUCCCUUCCUAGCAGAGAUUUCUGUUGACCCAGAAAUGCCAAGCGCCCACUGCCCAUUUCUGACGUCCCCAAAGAAAGCUGUGGCAAGGCAUUGUGUUACUCAGCAAGGUCAGAGCUGGCUUCUUUGGCUGAGCAUACUGAUUUCUGCCUUCUAGAGAUCUCCCGGAGUUAUCUCAGUCAUCAACCUGGGAUCUCCCAAAUGACCUCCAGAAUGGACACAGGGUGCUCAGUUCCACUUUGAUGCCCUGUCACGUGAAGAGAUGGUGCUUGGCCAGUGCCUGAACUAGCAGCUGACUUCUGGAGACCAUGGGGAAAUCCACAUUACUUAUAAGAGAAAUUAUGCAUGACUCAGUUUCCCCACUCUCUCAAGUGAUGAGGAUCUAGAAAAUUAAUUUCUGACCUGGGGCGGGACAAGAGGUGCUGCACCAGGCCCUGCCUUAACAAGCAUCCAACAUUGAGCAUGCCUGGGUCCAUCCAUUAAUGAAUUAAGAAUGGGCAGCACCUGAUGCUAACUUUGAGCUACUGGGAACCAAGAAAUGCAGGGUGUGAGGAAAUGGCAUCAGCAGAGCUCAAAACAGAGGUUGGGAGUGUUGGUGGAUUCCUGUUAGACCAACACUGUGCUGUGCCCUGUGUGAGAAAACUGAAGGUUUUACUUUUCCACUUCAGUUGAGGGAUGUGGACAAGCCUAUUUCAGCCAGAAACCCUGCUACCAAAUUAGAGAGUUGCCCAAGGGGAGAUGACUUUGCUUUGGGCUUGCUGGGAGGACAGGUCAAGCUGUGGUGGAACAGUCUGAAGGGCCAUGUUAUUUCUGUGGCCAAAAGCUCAAGCUGGUGUUGGCAUUUGCCCUUCUCUGCCGGAAAAGAAACCUUCCUCGUGAGUAACUGACUGAACAUGACAAUCCUCCUUAUUCAGAGAGGACCAGUAGGGAUCCCACAGCCAUAGCUGGUCAAAAAGAACCAUUCUGAUCAAACUGAAGUGUCUCUUAAGAACCUUCUGAUUCUCAUUGUACAAUAAUAAAGAAAAGAAUAUAACUAUCUGGGCCAAUAAUAUUCAGAAUCCAGUGUGUGUCCUCCCCAGGUUCUUCUGUAGGAGCUGCUCUGGAUGUGUUGUAUAUGUUCAUUUAUACAGCAAAUUGGAUGGAUUGUGGCAUGGGUUUAUCGUCUUCGAGGCUUAGAAAUCACCCUUCACAACUCUGGGCUGACUGAUGUAUUUAUUGGUAAUCUAUUGACAUUUAUUGUUCAAUGAUAACUUAGAAAAUGAUUUUUGUGCUGGGAUGAACUUCAGAACAAACACUACUUCAGCACAACAUUUUUUUUGUUUCAAGUUUUCUUCGUCCUUCAGCCUCACAGUUGUGCCUAAAACUGUUGUGUAUCGAUAAGAGCUUCCUUCCACCCAUAAUUUACUCUCUCCUUCUGUUCCCUGCUGUAAACAAGCCAUUAAAAAUGUGUUUAUGACAUCACAGUUGGUGACCAUGGAAAUGACUUUGAUGUUAGAAAGACAAAUAUAGCAUCGUGAUUUCACGGCAGGAUCAAGGCUGGAGAAGACCCUUGUUCAAAUGGCGGGUAAUUAACAAAGUUUGCAUUGCAGCAUGGCACCGGUGGAGAAGUAAGACAGCCAUAUGCCAGCACCACUGCAGUGAGAACGAGAGAGGGGAACCUUCCAGAGCCCACAGGAGGAUGAGGACGGUGGCACUUUGCAGGAGCAGAACCGCAGCCCCUGGGCACGCAGCCCUUGCCCUGCUCAGCCCGGCUCUCACACCUGGAACAGCAGACAGCACAGAGGUCCAGCAGGUUUGGGUGAUUACUGACCUGGAAAACAUCUCUUGCUUAGGAGCUCACCAGCAUUAGCCCUGCAGGCAGCUGCCCUCAUGGGCAGCAUUGCUGCAGAGCAGUGCAAGGGGAAAGUCACAGAGCACAGUGCUGCCAGCAGCUGCGUGUCCCCAUCCUCAGCCGUACGCUCCCCAAGGAGCCCGCUUGGCAGCUUCGAAGAUUCAUCAUCAGCCUCACAUUGCAUCGUGCUUUGGCUGAAAGUUGAGCCGACUGUGUGCUAUCUCCGCAGGCUCCCGGUGUGCCUCCCCUCCCUGAGCACACAGCGAUGUCUUACGGACAGGAUGCGUGUGCUUUGGCUGUAUGAAAUUGCAGCAUUCUUUCUAGGGGAGAAAAAAUUUAAUUUUGCUCUAAAUUCCUCUAUAACCAAACCGAUCUCCAUUUAUAUCCCAGACAGUAAAUCACAGCAACAUGAAGUCUCGUGCACAGAACUGAAGUGGUUCCUUAAAGCAAAUUUGGCAGGAAAUAAGUCAUCAUCUUGCAAAGCCAGUUCACUCUCAUACGCAGCACUCCCUGAGCUCUCCGCUAAAAUCUGCGAGCAGGCACGAAAAGUCAUUAUUUUGAAAAAUGGGGCAAGAUCUCUGAGUCGUGGCGAGGCCCUGUGAGAUGGACCACAUGAUGCUGCUAUCAAAACAACACAGAACUUGGUCAGGGAAUCACCCCAUGAGUCCUCCCCGACUCCUGGGCUUGCAGCGCGCGGGUACUCAGAUAUCACAAGGGCCAUUAGUUUGGCUCCUUAUAAAAACAAGGUCGUGCUGCUCUCACAUCUUCCCUCUGCGCUU